rnacentral:rRNA from 1 species
CAGUAGCCACGGUAAUACGGAGGGUGCAAGCGUUAAUCGGAAUUACUGGGCGUAAAGCGCACGCAGGCGGUCUGACAAGUCAGAUGUGAAAUCCCCGGGCUUAACCUGGGAACUGCAUUUGAAACUGUCAGGCUGGAGUCUUGUAGAGGGGGGUAGAAUUCCAGGUGUAGCGGUGAAAUGCGUAGAGAUCUGGAGGAAUACCGGUGGUGAAGGCGGCCCCCUGGACAAAGACUGACGCUCAGGUGCGAAAGCGUGGGGAGCAAACAGGAUUAGAUACCCCGGUAGUCCCUGUCUCUUAUAC